AUGAUGUGGAUUAAUUCGAUGCAACGCGAAAACCUUACUACCCUUGACAUGUCCGGAAUCCCGAAGAGAUUUGGAGUGCUCGCAAGAGAGCCGGAACACAGGUGCUGCAUGGCUGUCGUCAGCUCGUGUCGUGAGAUGUUGGGUUAAGUCCCGCAACGAGCGCAACCCUUGUCAUUAGUUGCCAUCAUUUGGUUGGGCACUCUAAUGAGACUGCCGGUGACAAACCGGAGGAAGUGGGGAUGACGUCAAGUCCUCAUGGCCCUUAUGGGUAGGGCUUCACACGUCAUACAAUGGUCGGUACAGAGGGUUGCCAAGCCGCGAGGUGGAGCCAAUCCCACAAAGCCGAUCGUAGUCCGGAUUGUUCUCUGCAACUCGAGAGCAUGAAGUCGGAAUCGCUAGUAAUCGCAGGUCAGCAUACUGCGGUGAAUACGUUCCCGGGUCUU
rnacentral:rRNA from 1 species